CCCAUUCUUUUCCAAAUUCCCUUACAUUUUCCUAUGCCCAAUUCUUUCCUCCAAAUCCCUGCAGGCUGCAGCCCAUUCCAAUACAAUUCCCAGGCCACUAUUUUCCAACUGCACACCUUAUCCCUCGAGAGAAUUUUGAAUUCAAAUUCAUCCCAAAAUCCAUUCCCUAGAAAUCUCCUAUAAAUACUUAUCUUUUCCAUUCAUUGGUGGGAGGGAGGGGGUUAGAGAAAAAUUUUGGGGAAGAAAAUAGAGGUCGAAAGAAAAGGUUUGACCAACAAGAAUAUACAUAGAGAGCAUACAAAUAUAUACGAAUAUGGAGUGGUGAUGCAGAAGGACACACUAGAUAUAGAAGCCAAAAUUAAUUUGAACAAGGGAAGAUCGAGUACUCAACCAUAUAUUCUUAAGUCUAGAUUUUAGUCUCUUCCAUUCUUCACUGGAAUCGGUUCAAGGGUGGUGGUGGAAUCCUGUUCAAGCUUCGUUCGUCCCGGGAUGCUGCUCCAAAGAAGGUAACCUCUUCCCCCUUAAAUUUGUUUUUUCCAUUUCGGCUAAAUUUAUAUGUAUGCAAUGUGGAUUUAAUUCAUUUUGUGGUUUGAUUUGAUGAUUCCAAUCUAUAAUAUGCUCUUCUUGAUAAAAGAUAUGGUUGUGUAUUGAUUUGAAGUGGUAAAAUAGUAGGCAGAAUCUCGAAAUGCAACUGGGUAUGGAAUAUGACCACUUGUUUUCUCCAUUUCAAAUCUCAUGGUUAUUUGUUGAUCAUCGAAAUAUUCCUGUCUCUUUAUUAGUUUUCUUGUUUUGAUUGUGUGUUCUAAAGGCGUCAAAGAAAUUAUUAUGUCGUUUAUCUUCUUUGCAUUUUCGGGUAUAAAUUAGCAAGUUCUGCUCACAUCAAUAGAGCUUCGUUUGUUAUUGUCAUCUUGUAGUGCAAGUAUUUCUCUCUUCCAUAUAGAACCCUCUGCUAUGUUUUUCCUACAGCUGCUGCCUCUUUGAUUUGUCUCUUGCUAGCAUGUUCAUCUAUAUUUUAUUUCAGGCAUAAUACAUAUAUUAGAUCCUACACUUGACUUCAAACUCCAACUUUCAUAAUGCACAAACAAACACUUUAACUAUCCAACUUUGAAAUAAAUAAACACAUGAGUCCUACAUGACAAAAUACACGUAGAACACCACGUAAGACAAAAAAUGACAUGUAGGACAUGAGUGUCUAUUUGUUCAAUUUUAUAUAAGUUUAAGUGUCUACUUGUGCCCACCCAAAGUUGAAGGGUAUAAAUGUGAUUUGAAGUCAAGUUAAAAGACAUAUUUAUGUAUUAUGCCUUUAUUUUAUGUUGUUUUUUUUUUUUAAAAAAAAUACUUUUCCUUUAGAAGUGGAUGUGUUGUUUAACUAUGGUUCAAGCGUUGAGUCAACUUAGUGCAACAUGCCUAAAACGAGUUAUUAUUGCUUCUUUGGUUAUGGGCUCUGCAAAGGACAUCUAAUCGUGUUUCUUUUCUCGUUCCCCUCGUUUUAUUAUUGCGUGGUACGCUAAGAUAUUUCCUUUUAGUAUUAGUUGAGUUUGGGUUAGUUCAUGAAUUAGUUUUGAUGUACCAAUUGGGCAUAUCUUGAAUUUCGACUAUUGGGUAGCCGUAUUUUGAGCUUGAAGUAGCACAUAUAUUUGUGUUCUCUUAUUUCUUCAUUUUGUUUAUUGUGGUGCCACAAUUCUAAUUUUUUUUUUAUUCUUAUUUAUGUGAAAUUUGUCCGAGUUCGCCAUGAACUCCUCGCCUUGCAUUUUCUUGUUGAGCCACGAAGGCUUAAACCAUUAUUCUCGAGUCAUCCAGACCUCCUCAAACCUGAUGAACAGGUCGAAAGCAGCAAAUAGGUUGCUGGAAAUUUACAUUGCAGGUCUCCAAAGGCUUAGAAAAAGACUAAUAUACUGUUGUAUACACUGAUAUACAGUGUUAAUAUACGAUUUAAGGUUCGAAAAAAUUACACAGGUGCUUUAAAUUUUAUCUGGGGCAGCAUACAUUCCGUAUAUAUCCCAAUAUACACGAAAACGAAUUGUAUACAAGCUGUAUACAUCGGUAUACAUCAAAACGUAUACUAGUUUUUCAAGAGAGAAAAUGGGCCAAUUUUGCGUAUCGUUGGGAAAUUGGGCCUAGAGGUCCAAUUUUGCUGAAUUUGGGCAAAGAGCCCAAGUUCAAAUUUUCUCCUUUCUCUUCUUUAUAAUAGUAUUAACUUACAUUUCAUUUGUUAAAUUUUGGUUUGACUCAAUUAAUUUCCCCAAUGUUAGUCCUUUCUCUUUUUAUAUUUAAAUAAAAAUUAUUUAUUUUUAUAUUCUAUAUUUAGAUUAUUUUCACUAUUAGACCCUUUUAGAAGAUUCCUUCUAAAUUCAUUUCCCUUUAAAUUAGUCAAUUAAAAUAGAAUUGUAAUAUUAGUAAAUAAAUAUAAAAAAGAAUUUGAUUUUACUUUAUUUAGACAAUAUCUAAAAAAUAGAUUAUUUUUAAAAGUCAUUUUUAGUCAAAUCGCCGGUCAACCGCAAGUUAGCGAACACUCUGAGGGCCUAAUACCUUCUCGGAAUGUACAUUUGAACUUCGAACCCUUUUUCAACUGAUUUUUAUUAGUUUUAAAUCUUUUGAAAAAAUAAUUUUAAGUUUUCUUGGUUUUACUAAAAAAUCAAGUGGCGACUCUAUAAUUUUGAAAGUCAAUUUCUCUUAAAUCAUAAGAUAAGUCAAUUUUUCGAAACUUAGUCCUUUUUUACUUAAAUAUUUUCGUAAUACAGAGGGCAUCAACAAGGUGGGCGGGGAGGUAAUCAAUGAGGCUGUGGAGGUAGAAUAAAUGGUAAUGCAGGCAUGGAAGUGGUUCAUCAAGAUGAUACGGCUUAAUGUUAUGCUUUUGCGGCAAGAAUGAGGUAGAUGUGUCUGAUGCAGUGAUCUCAUGUACUGUUCUUACUUAUGACCGGAUGACUAAUGUGUUAUUUGACUAGGAUUUUACGUAUUCAUAUAUAUAUCCAUGCAAUUUGCCUCAUAAUUUGUUAUGAUUUAUGAUGUACUUGAUGCCCCUAUCCAUGUUUCUACCCAGUUGGAGAGUAAGUCAUAGUCACCAUGUUUAUCGUGCUUGUCUUAUUUUGUUUACGGUUUUCAAACUUGGGCUGAUUUGGUGAUUCUGGAUUAGAAUGACUUUGAUAUUAUCUUAGGAAUGCCUUGGUUGUCCCCCUAUUAUGUUGUGUUAAAUUGUAAUACUAAGUUUGUUACUCUCGAAAUUUAGGCAAGGGAAAAGUUAGAGUGGGAAGGGGUGUAAAAGCCUAAGCAAACUAAGUUCAUAUCCUUCAUUCGGGCUAGGAAACUAGUAAGGUAGCGUUGUUCAGCUUAUUUGGCUCAUAUUUGGGAUAUGAGGUUGAGACUCUAUUUAUUGAGUCUAUUCUUGUGGUGUCAGAAUUUAGAGAAGUAUUCCCUACCUAUUAGCUUAGUAUGCCUCCAGAUAAAAAUAUAGGUUUCUACAUUGAUUUGGAGUCUAGUACUCGUCCCAUUUCUAUCCCUCCAUAUCGCAUGACUCUAGCAGAAUUAAGAGAGCUUAAACUCAAAUCCAAGAGCUUCUUGAUAAGGUAUUUAUUUGACCUGGUGCUUCCUAUAGGUGCCUCAUUUUUGUUUGUUAAUAAAAAGGAUGGUAGUAUGAGGAUGCGUAUAGAUUACCAACAAUUGAUUAGGGCCAUCAUUCGAAAUAAGUAUACCUUGUCUCAUAUAUAUAGUCCUUUCUGAACAAUUGCAAGGGUCAUUUGUUUUCUCCAAGAUUGAUCUAAGGUCUGGCUACCAUCAAUUAAAAAUUAGGCCUGAGGUUGUUCCCAAGACAACACUUAGAACCCUCUAUGGGCACUAAAAGUUUCUAGUUAUCUCCUUUGGCUUGACCAAUGUGCCUGCAACUUUUAUGAGUUUAAUGAAUUGGGUGUUGAAUCCAUUUCUUGAGUUCUUUCGUCAUAGUCAUUACUGAUGAUAUUUUGGUCUAUUCUAAAAGUGAGGAAGAACAUGUCGACCAUCUUCGUAUUGUUUUGGGUAAUCUUGGGAAACAAAGGUUGUAUGCUAAAUUUUCUAAGUGUUAAUUUUUGUUGACAUCUGUUGCAUUUUUGGGUCAUGAAGUUUCAAAAGAAAAGGUGAUCGUAGAUCCUCAAAAGAUUGAGGUAGUUAAGAAUUGAGUUCAUCCUAGCUUUGUAACGAAAGUUAGGAGUUUUGUGGGGCUCACUAGCUACUAUCAUCGAUUUGUGAAGAACUCUAUUCCAUUUGUACUCAUUUGAUAAAAAAGAGAUACCAUUGUAAUGGACUGAAAAAUGUGAGAAGAGUCUUCAAAAUCUCGAGACUCUCUUUGACCACCGCACAUAUUCUAGCAUUACUAGUGGGAAGGUAAAGAUUUUAUUGUUUAUUUUUAUCCUUCAUAUUCUGGUUUGGGUGUUGUGUUAAUGUAUGCUAAGAAUGUUAUAGCUUAUGUCUCUAGUCAAUUAAAGGUGCAUGAGAGGAAUUAUCUAACACAUGAUUUGGAGUUGGCAGCGGUAGUGUUUUCUCUUAAUAUCUAGCAACAUUACCUCUAUGGUUUCAAGUGUGAAUUGUUUAAUGAUCAUCGUAAUUUGCAUCAUGUGUUCACUCAAUGGAAGUAAACUUAAGACAACGAAGGUGGAUGGAGUUACUUAAAGAUUAUGAUGUCACCAUUCAAUAUCAUCAGGGUAAGGCUUAUGUUGUGGCUAAUGUUUUGAGUCGAAAAGCAGUUAGUAUGGGUAGUUUAGCUUACUUGAGUGUAUCCAAGCGACCUUCAGCUAAAGAAACUCAGACCUUGGAGUCUAAAUUCAUUCAAUUGGGCAUCUUAUAAAAAAUGUGGGUAUUAGAUUGCAUUAAAUUAAGGGUCAUAUUCAUCGAUGAAAUCAAGGACAAAAAAAUUAAAGAUGAAAAUUUAGAGGAGCUUAGAAAGAAGAAUGCGCUUGGUAAGGUGCAAGAUACCACUCUUGAUGCAGAAGGUGUAUUUAGUUUCAAGGGAAGAAUUUGUUUUCUUUGAGUUGAUGAUUUGAUUCAAAAGUUGUUAAUAGAGUCCCAUGAUUCGUGAUAUUAUAUUCAUCCAGGUGUGACAAAGAUGUAUCAAGAUUUGAAGCAAAUUUAUUUGUGAUCGAGCAUGAAGAAGGAUAUAGAGGAGUUUGUGGCUAAGUGUCAAAACUAUCAACAAGUGAAAUAUGAACACCAAAGACCUGCAGAUUUACUUCAAAGAAUGCCAAUUUCGGAAUGUAAGUCGGAAAAAAUAGACAUGGAUUUUGUGGUUGGCCUUCCCUAAACUUACGGAAAGCUUAAUUGUAUUUGGAUAAUAGUUAUUAGAUUGACUAGGUCAGCCCAUUUUAUUUCGGUAAGAAUAAAUUAUAAUGUUGAACAAUUGGCUUAAGUUUAUGUGAAAGAGGUGAGGUUGCAUGGGGUGGCCUCUCUAUCAUCUUAGAUCGUGGUACCCAAUUUACAUCUAUGUUUUGGAGGUAAUUGCAUGACGAAUUAGCUAUACAACUCACCUUUAGUACAACCUUCCAUACACCAAUAGACGGACAAUCAUAGAGGACUAUUCAAGUGUUAAAAAUGUUUAGGGCAUGUGAUUGAUUUUGGAGGGUAUUGGAAUAAGUUCCUACCUUGUGUAAGUUCUCUUAUAAUAAUAGUUAUCACUUCAACAUUGAUAUGGAACCAUUUGUGGGACUCUAUGUGAGGGGAUAUAGGUCAACCAUGGAAUGGUUUGAGGCUUGAGAUGUGGAACCUUUGGGUAGAUUUAGUGAAUGAUGUUUAAGAUAAGGUGAAGCAUUUAAGCUAAGCUUCUAGCAGCCCAGAGUAGACAAAAAAAGUAUGAAUAGACAUGACGUUUCAAACCGGUGAGGAUGUUGUUCUUAAGGAUCACUCAUGAAAUGGGUGAUAAAAUUUGGCAAGAAAGGCAAGUUAAGUCUGUGAUACAUUGGUCGCUUUAAAGUUCUUCAAUGUGUAAAGCCUAUGGCCUAUAGGUUGGCCUUACAUCCUGACGUAUUAGGAGUUCAUCUGCUGUUUAACGUAUCAAUGUUGAUACAGAGUAUAUCAUUAAGUGAGACUCAAUUGUGUUAGACAAAUACCCUAAUAUGAGCAGGACCCGAUUGUAAUUCUUGAUAAUGAUGUGCAUAGGUUGAGGACCAAGGAGUUAAGUCUGUGAAAUUUUAUUGGAAGCAUCAUCCAAUUGAGAAAACUACGUGGGAAACUGAGAGGGAUAUGCGAGAUAAGUAUCCUCAAUUCAGGUACUACUCCAUUUUUUCCUGAGCUUCUUUUUCCUAAGUUUAUAACUUGGGGACAAGUGAUGGGUAAAUUGGUAUCUAUUUCAACAAUCGAGUUCCGUCUUAUUAGAAAAUCUAAGGGAGAAAAUUUUUGGGUCUGAAAUCUUUUCAUAGUAUCUUGAAAUUUUCCAACCUAGUCCAAAUUUGGACGUAAUUGGAAUCGUUAAGGGCUAAGGAAAUCUGAUUACAAUCCGGUGAUUUAAUUAUGAUUUUGAUUACAUGAGGAUAUAAAUAACUCGUUAAGGAAUCCGUACAACUUUAUGGGAUUGGAGCGUAUUUUUUCGUGCAACCCGCUUUGGCAUUGGAUUUUGGUCUCUCUGGAGGGGAUGUUGUAGCGGGUGAGGGCCUCUUUGGCUGGCCAUACAUGACUUAAAGUCGUAAAUAAUGUCCUAAACAACCUUAUUCUGCACUUUUUGAUUUCUGGAGCUGAGGAUCGAACUCUAAGAGAAUCUUGACAAUUUUGCACCAUUCUUGAGGCUAAAGGUUAGUUUUUCACUACUUGAAUCCAUUUUUCGAUCCAUAGAACACAAUAGAAUGGGUAAUUAUCAAUGGGGGGGGGGGGGGUUUGAAUUGGAAAACAUGGUGGAAGAACCCUAGUUUGGAUACUUGGGAUCAUGGAUAUGAUGUAGGGUUGCUAGAAUUGUUAGUAAUACGAGUAAUUAGUGAUUAUUUAUUAAUUCCCGUAUUAUAUUGAUUAUUUGUAGACCAAGAACAAGUGGAACGAAUUUGAAAAUGAAAGGAUCAAGUUUCUUAAGUUUUCAAGCUUUGUUGAGGUUAGGUGAUGAUUAUGAUUGUAUGAUUGUGUGAUGUAUGUUUGUUUUUGCUUCAUUAUGAUACAUGUAUGUUAAUGUUGCAUUAUUGAUCACACUUGAAAUAGACAAAUUACUAUAUGCCAUGAAUCACUUCUUGAUUGUAUGAUUUGAGAAUAUACUUAUGAUUGUGAUUGUGGUGUGUUUAAGGGAUCGAUUCUCAUGUUUAGGAAUAGCUAACUAGGAUCGUUUGCCAUGUUUUGGUAUAGCUAACUAGAAUCGUUUGCCAUGAUUCGGUAUAUAUAUGAGAUUUGUUGCCACGUUCUAGCAUAAUUACUGGAUUGGGUACCAUGUUCCAAAAGUCUGACUGUUUGGGUUUGGGUUCCAUGAGAGGAUCAACUACCUGAUAUAUUUGUUAUAUUUGAGAAUUGUGAAAUGCUCUGUUGUUCGUAAAUGAUGAUGAUAUUGUAUUGAUAGCAAAAUGUAUUUGCCACGUUUUAGCUUAAGCUAAAGAUAACUUUAAAUUAAGUGAUUUUACUACUAUUAAAGAAUUGAGAAAAUUAGACUUAGAUUUUUUUGCAAUAACACAAAUUCUGAAGAAAAAAAAGUAUUUUUUAAACUAAAAAAAUUACACAUCGGCCAACUCCGUUAAUUAAACACGACACUUAUUUUCCUUUUAAUCCAUUGAAAAUAAAUCGAACUUCUUAUGCUACUUCAACUCUUUCUUUAUCUUUUAAUUAUAAUGAAGUACAUUUUUACAGCCAGUGAUGCAACUAAGACUUUUGUAAAUGAUAUUUAAGAUUUAAUAUAUGUAUGAACUAAUAUAAUUUGACUGAUGACAACCAAAUUUUUUGAUGAAACGACUAACCACCUUCGAGCCAUUAUGGCAUUACAUAUAAUUUAUGAUGAAACAAUUGAUGUAACUACCUGAUUUCUUUCACUAUGGAAAAGUCAAUGAAGAAAGAAUUGGGGUCAGAAAACUUUUUGGUAGUAACUUCGAAUUCUUAGCCUAGUCCAGAUUUGGAUGAAAUCGGAGUCAUUAAGGUGUAAGAAAAUAUAGUAAUGAAUGAGAGAUGUAAUUGUGAAGUUGAUUACAUGAGUGGAUAGGUAAUACGAUAAGAAAAAUGUAUGACUUUACGAAAUCAAAUUUGGGCGAGUAGAACUUCCGAAAAUGAUCUUAGCGUGAAGGGUAACAUUUUAUCUCUGUGUCGACCGCUGUAGCAGGAUUUUGGGGCCAUAGUAGGGCCAUUACAGUGGGAUGAGGCCAUUGUAGCGAUCCAUACACAACUUAAAGUUGCUAAUAAACCCCAAAAUGAUUUUAUUUGACACUUUUCAAUUUUUAGAGCUAAAAAGGCAACCUAGACGAGUUCUUGACAACUUUUCAUCAUUCUUAAGGCUAAAUGUAAGAUUUUAAAUCCCUGAAUCCAUUUUUUGAUCCGUGAAACCUAUUUUCUUGGGUUAUUAUCAAUGGUGAAGGGUUUUCAUUUAGAAAUUAUGGUAGAAAAAGCCGUAAUUUGGGUAGUAGGAUCUUGGGUUUGGUCUAGGGUUAUUGAGUUUGUUAUAAGCCAAAUAAUUAGAUCUUUGAUUGUUGAUCCUUGCGUAUAUUAAUUAUUGUAGACCUAGGAAAAGCGGAAAGAAUUCGAAAAGUAAAGAUUUAACUUCCUUAGGGGGCUCAAGCUUUGAUUCGAGGUAGGUGAUGAUUAUGAUUUCAUGUUGGUGUGAUAUGUAUUUGUAAUUGCUUCAUUAUAACGCAUGUAUGUAUGUGAAUGUUGCAUUAUUAAUCGUAAUAAGGAUAAUUGAAUAAUUGAAUAAUUGUAUGCUAUGAAUCACCUCUUGUUGUAUAAUCUUAAUGAUGUUCUUGUGUUUUUGAUUGUGGUGUGUGAUUGGGGAUUGGAUUGGCACAUUCCAGUAAGCUAAUUUGGAUCGUGUUGCCACAUUUCGGCACAACUAUUGGAUCGUGUUGCCACUCUCCGACACAACUAUUGGAUCAGGUUUUCACGUUCCAACACAAUUAUGGAAUGGAAUUACCACGUUCUGACAAACUAACCAUUUGAGUUUGGGUUCCAUGAGAGGACCAUUGAAUUGGUUAUGUAUCUACUUGUGAUGAUUACGUUCAUACGUAAUGAUUAUUGAUAUUGAAAGAUUAUUGAUAUUGAAAGACUAUUUAUUACUCUAAAAUGAUUUAGUUAUAUAUUGUCGAGAAUUAUGAAACAGUUUGUUGAUGUGUGUCACUCAUUCGGAUAGCCGCUUGAUCCUACUAGUACAUUAUGAUUGUGUAUUGACUCUACACUUGCUCUUAUUUUUUUUGAGUACAUGACAUCUUUGAGCGGCUAUUGACAGACCUUGUUUAGAAGAUCAGUGACCGUUUCAAAUUCAAGGGUGAGAUAGUUAUUCCGGGUUCCCUGAAUUCUCUUUUGCUUACGUCCACUCUCUUCGGACUCGGACUAUUCUUUAAGGUGUUGUUUAGUUUUGGGGUUGUACCUAUUGUUCUUAGACUUGUCGUUAGUAGAGUUUUGGUACAAUGACUUUCAAGGUCUAGGAAUUGUAUUUUAGCAUUCUAGUUAGGCUAUUUGUUUAGUUCCUUAAUAAAUAAUUUAGUUACUUAAACCUGCUUUUGUAUAUUUAAAUGUCUAGUUUUUUUCAUUAAGUUGCUUUGUUGGGUAGUAGUGAUGGUUCUCCACUGGAGGGUUAAGUUUGGGUGUCAAUCAUGAUGGUUGAAUCGUGAUAAACAAGUUAUAAAAGGAUUUCUUUCUUCUUUAA
rnacentral:lncRNA from 1 species